UAAUGUUGGUUGUACAUUACUUUGUAUAUCAGCUUGUCCAUAAUGCUGAGUUGGCAUUGUUUGAAUUUCAAUUUCUCGUGGCCAUUAAAGAAUGGGUUAAAAAUUUUGAUAGAAUCCCCAAAAAGCCCCUAUCUCAUCUGAUUCCUCAAAACCUUCUGUUUGCACAAGAAACCGUCACACAAUACUCUGUCUAAUUAAAAUCCUCUGAUGAUCGACGGCCAGUCAGCGACGAUGAGCAGGUUGACUGAGACAAAUAUCGUAGUUGGUGGCUGGACAACUGGAUAACCGUGGAUGGUGAAUCAAGAUCGUUGAAAAGAAAGAAUGACAAAGGAGUUUGCAAAUCUUGUAAAAUGUACAAUUUUUAUUUAAACAAAGAGGGAUUCUUGGUGAGAAUUGAAAUCUGUUUUAAUUUUCGCUAAUGUUUAAGUAGACUCCCUACAAUGAUAUCAGAGACUACUUUAUUUUUGUUAGAAAUUGCUUUGAUGUUUGGGAAGUUGAUUGUAAUUAUUUUCU